rnacentral:rRNA from 1 species
UACGGGGGGGGCGAGCGUUGUUCGGAAUUACUGGGCGUAAAGGGCUCGUAGGUGGCCAACUAAGUCAGACGUGAAAUCCCUCGGCUUAACCGGGGAACUGCGUCUGAUACUGGAUGGCUUGAGUUUGGGAGAGGGAUGCGGAAUUCCAGGUGUAGCGGUGAAAUGCGUAGAUAUCUGGAGGAACACCGGUGGCGAAGGCGGCAUCCUGGACCAACACUGACACUGAGGAGCGAAAGCCAGGGGAGCAAACGGG